CUCUGCCCCAGGCGCCCCGGAGCAGGAGGGGCGGGCGGGACGGAGCAGCCCCCAUUGGGAGCACCCUGUCUUCCUGCGGAACAAGGUGACUCCGCAGGUCAUGCUGUUGUCUGCUGACCCAGCCGGCCCUGCCAGGUGAGCCUGACCUCCCCCAGGCUCUACUCAGGGUGCUCCAGGGGGACGGGCCCAGCCUUUCCGUUCCAGGCCUCCUCCCCGCGGCCCUAACCCCGCUCUCCUCUCCAGCCUGUGGUUCUGUGCUUAUGGCCUCCUGGAUUCCUGCCUGAACAGCCCUGCCCCCCACCCUCGCCCUGCCC